rnacentral:lncRNA from 1 species
UCUAGCAACUAGUUGAUGUUAUGAUGCAUCGUUGGUCCGGUGUACGACGGCGCCUGAUGCGAUUUAUGCGUCCGGAAGCCCUUUCAGCCUCCAGGCACGUCCCCACCUGCCUCACAGCCACCGACGCAUCUCACGGCGGGGUUCCAAUUGUGUGCGCAUAUGGAUGCUCCUUUCCCCGCCGCCUUUCUAGCAACUAGUUGAUGUGAUGAUGCAUCGUCGGUCCGGUGUACGAUGGCGCCUGAUGCGAUUUAUGCGUCCGGAAGCCCUUUCAGCCUCCAGGCAUGUCCCCACCUGCCUCACAGCUACCGAGGCAUCUCACGGCGGGGUUCCAAUUGUGUGCGCGUAUGGAUGCUCCUUUCCCCGCCGCCUUUCUAGCAACUAGUUGAUGUUAUGAUGCAUCGUUGGUCCGGUGUACGAUGGCGCCUGAUGCGAUUUAUGCGUCCGGAAGCCCUUUCAGCCUCCAGGCACGUCCCCACCUGCCUCACAGCCACCGACGCAUCUCACGGCGGGGGUCUAAUUGCGUGCGCGUAUGGAUGCUCCUUUCCCCGCCGCCUUUCUAGCAACUAGUUGAUGUUAUGAUGCAUCGUUGUUCCAGUGUACGACGGCGCCUGAUGCGAUUUAUGCGUCCGGAAGCCCUUUCAGCCUCCAGGCAUGUCCCCACCUGCCUCACAGCCACCGACGCAUCUCACGGCGGGGUUCAUAUUGCGUGCGCGUAUGGAUGCUCCUUUCGCCGCCUUUCCAGCAACUAGUUGAUGUUAUGAUGCAUCGUUGGUCCGGCGUACGACGGCGCCUGAUGCGAUUUAUGCGUCCGGAAGCCCUUUCAGCCUCCANN